UGAAGAAUUUGUCCAACGGCGGGGGAUAGCCGGCCCAACGGGCCGGGUAAUACCGCGUACGACUUUCGGGGGGCAUCCCCUGAUGGUGAAAGCCGCAAGGCGCCGAUGGAGAACUUCGCGGCCUAUCAGCUAGUUGGUGAGGUCAUGGCUCACCAAGGCGACGACGGGUAGCUGGUCCGAGAGGAUGACCAGCCACAUUGGGACUGAGACACCGGCCCAGACCUCCGUACGGGGAGGCAG
rnacentral:rRNA from 1 species